CCCUUAGAUGUUCUGGGCCGCACGCGCGCUACACUGACGAUGGCAACGAGUUUUUCCUUCGCCGAAAGGUGUGGGUAAUCUUUUGAAACAUCGUCGUGCUGGGGAUAGAUCAUUGCAAUUUUUGAUCUUGAACGAGGAAUUCCUAGUAAGCGCGAGUCAUCAGCUCGCGUUGAUUACGUCCCUGCCCUUUUUACACACCGCCCGUCGCUACUACCGAUUGAAUGGUUUAGUGAGGACUCCUGAUUGGCGCCGCCGCCCCGGCAACGGAGCAGCGGACUGCCGAAAAGUUGUUCAAACUUGAUCAUUUAGAGGAAGUAAAAGUCGUAACA
rnacentral:rRNA from 1 species